GUGCCAUUACUGUUUCAGGUUUGGAUUGGGAUUCAGACAACUUUAUUGAUGCCAAGAGGGACAAUCAAUUUGCAGCUCACCCCAUCAAGAACACACGGACAACAUCCACGAUGUCACGUCAGGCACCGCUCAGCAAAAUCAGACAAAAGCAGAGGUCAGCGAAGGUCAGCUGAGCUUUCCACAACAGACGCAGGUGUGUUGUGGCGCAGCUGGUUGCGGCCCAGAUGUGCAGCCAGAUGUGACCAGGUAGAAGAGAAGAGAGGGGGGAAAACAAUGAUCAAUAAUGAUGAAUUGACAAUGACCUAUAUGGUGCUGGAGGAAAGGUCUGCAACCAACGGAGUCGUCCUCUGCUUGCCAUUCAAGAGAAUACAGGGUGAUUCACCAAAUUGGACGGCAGCAGCGGAGUGAUGGAGAGAACAAGAGAAAGACACACAGGUCCCGAUGCACCUUAGGAAAACACGUUAGGAACCGUUCUACCAAGUUCUUCAACAUCUGUGCUCUAAUCAACUGCAGCACUGCGACAUUAACCUCCUGCAUCAUCCCCACUCGACUACCUGCUGUCACGCUGAGCAGUUAGCACGGGUUAUUUUUAUCCUUUGCAUAAGCUAAUGAGGCACACGGAGGACCGACUAUGACAUUUUGCACUGGUCACGGCUGAGGGCAGUGGAGCGCACGGCUCGGUGCCACAGGAAACAACAGGCGAAGGAAAACAUCGAAGUGCCUCACCACUGGCCCUUAAGACUAAAAUGAAGAAAAAAGUAACACAGGUAAAUGUCUUACAGAAUUUGAUACGGCUGCUCUGACUGUAAUGCAAAUUGGUGAUGUGGUAUGAAUCCCUUCUUUUCUAUUAGUGUGUUUUCCCAUUAGCGAAACUCCUGAAAUGCACCAUGUGAAAGUAAUGAUUCGAGAGACGCAGUCCGGCGACGUCUCAGUGUCAAUGUCCGUCCUUGUCUCUUCAAUAGCUGUCAUGUAACUGUCAAUAGACCAAUGAAAAAUGAGCUGUCCGUGGUGCUGAAACCACCACCCAAGUAGGUUCCGGCCCCGAGGUAGACAUGUGCUACAGUGUAGUCUGGCUUUUGACUUCGCUGAAAUGACAGACGUUGAAAGGUUUUGUCCACACACGAUUACAUCGGCUCGAAAAAAAAUA